AUUGAACGCUGGCGGCAGGCUUAACACAUGCAAGUCGAGCGGGGAAGGGUGGCUUGCUACCUGACCUAGCGGCGGACGGGUGAGUAAUGCUUAGGAAUCUGCCUAUUAGUGGGGGACAACAUUCCGAAAGGAAUGCUAAUACCGCAUACGCCCUACGGGGGAAAGCAGGGGAUCUUCGGACCUUGCGCUAAUAGAUGAGCCUAAGUCAGAUUAGCUAGUUGGUGGGGUAAAGGCCUACCAAGGCGACGAUCUGUAGCGGGUCUGAGAGGAUGAUCCGCCACACUGGGACUGAGACACGGCCCAGACUCCUACGGGAGGCAGCAGUGGGGAAUAUUGGACAAUGGGCGAAAGCCUGAUCCAGCCAUGCCGCGUGUGUGAAGAAGGCCUUUUGGUUGUAAAGCACUUUAAGCGAGGAGGAGGCUGCCGAGAUUAAUACUCUUGGAUAGUGGACGUUACUCGCAGAAUAAGCACCGGCUAACUCUGUGCCAGCAGCCGCGGUAAUACAGAGGGUGCGAGCGUUAAUCGGAUUUACUGGGCGUAAAGCGUGCGUAGGCGGCUUUUUAAGUCGGAUGUGAAAUCCCUGAGCUUAACUUAGGAAUUGCAUCCGAUACUGGGAAGCUAGCG
rnacentral:rRNA from 1 species